rnacentral:misc_RNA from 1 species
UUUCAAAGAAAGUAAGGGGCAAUUUUCUUAACCUUAAUCAUUUAUAUUUCAGUAAUUUUUUAAUACGUUUAAAAUAAAUUUCGAGUUGAAAAUAUUUUUGAAAUAUUUUUUAACAUUAAACCAAAAAAAGUUAACAUUUUAAUAAAAUAUUUUUUAUCUGUCACUAUAUUUGACAUUUAAUACUAAAAAAAACGCCUGACCAAACAUUUUUUUUUUUGUAUCUAUGACAAUGAAGGUUAAGUUAAUUGUCUCUGGUAUAAAGUCACGUAUACACGUACGCAAUAAUGUAUGGUAAUGUUAGACUCUGUCACCUUGUUAACUAUUUGUAUAGAAUUUUAUAUAUUCGUCGUUUCCUAUUCCUCACGUGAGUGAGUUUUAUUUUGGACCUGUCGUGAUGUUAUAUCUGAAAUAUAUUCUCUGUCAAUCAAAAAAAAAAAAAAAAG